CACUUACGGUCACGUCGCAUUCUGAGAACGCCAAGUAGGGUGGAGAGCAAGCCAGCAUCCACCUCAACCCACGAGCCUGGGAUCCAGAGUCGGACCCCAGCCAGUUGAGACACCCAAGCGCCCCCCUUACGUCCUUUUAAGGUUCCAGGGCAUGGUCUACGAGACCAGCACGACCAGUGCCACCAACGUCGGCACGAAACCCACCAGAGACUCUCCCUCGUGGACAGAGGUGCGGAAAUUCUCCAUAAAAUGUGACCAAAUGAAGCCCACCGUUCCAAGAAAGGGACAAUACACCAGAUUCAAGUUCGCCGUGUUGACGUAUUCCAGAAUUCAGAAACUUUGUUAGAAAUCCCAUCUAAAGCGUAGAAUAUGUUUAAAAAAACCUAGCGUAACGUACAAACUUUUCAAACCGCUAAGCAGUAUGCCUGAAAGUAACGUAACAGUGUAGGUCAACUACUCACAAACUUAAAAGACCUUACCGGAGAUAAUUCUACACUGUCACCGAAGAAUGUGUCCGUAGAUCCGAUGCCCUGUGGUUGACCGUGUGGCAGCGACUCUCCCCUGGAACCUCCAGAAAGGACCCGCCCUGCCCACACCUGGAUGUAGCCCGGUGAGACCCAUUUUGCACCUCUGACCUCUUCGGGUAAGGAAAUCUUGUGUUGUUUUCAGGCCCCGGGUGGUGGUGCCGGCCACCGUGGCCCCAGGAAAGUGGCCCCAGGAAACUCGAGAAAGGAAAGGAAACCAAACCGUGUGGCUGCCUGCCUGCCUGCCUUCAGGGGACAGGGAGCUUUGCAGGGGACAGCGCUGGGGCCACCUGGGGCCCGAGGGAGGGAAGAGACUGCGGCCUGUGGCUUGCCUUUUGCCUUGGAGCCCAUAUCUUAAGUCGUACUCAGGAGAAAGGGAGCGGACAGAAAUGCUUCAGGUGCAGACAGGAGGCAAAACCAGAGGGGCGGGGGGGAGCGGCCACUCCGUGCCCCCCACCUCACGGCUGAACACCAGAGGGUACGGGGGAGGGAGACUGGGGGCAGGGCGCACAGCCGCCCCUGGUAAGAGGUGGAGGGACCACCCAGAGGGGGGCCUCCCUCCCAGCCCACCUUGACCCCCCCAACCAGUCCAGAGGCACCAAUGGGAGACCCGCCCCAGCCUAACGACCCCUGAGUGAACAGAGGGAAGGCAGUGCCCUGCCCUCUCCUCCCCGCAGAAGUCCUGGCUGCCAGCAAAGCGGAAGCGCCCAGACCAGCCACAGGCUGGGGGGCACUUACUGGGCACGUCCACCAGGGGCUUGGAGGGGCCGGACUGGCGGGUCUCAAAGGGGCCUCCGGCCCGGCCCACCUCACUCCCCACCCUGCCCUCCUUUGGCUAAGAGUCCUUCCCCUGGUGGGGGAGAUGGGAGUUAGGGUCCACGUAGCGGCAAUGCCCCUCCCCCAGGGGCCGGUCAGGGAGGCACCGAUGGGGGGGGGGGGUCUUUCCCUCCCCCUCCCCGAGGAAAAGGGCUACUAACAAUGCAGGGCAGCCAGGAGCCCCUUAGCCAGGUUCCAAGUAAUGAAGCCACUUCACAUUUUGAAAGGAAGGGUUUCCCCCCAAGGGAGGGAGAGAGGAGGCCCCACAAAGAGCCUGAGGCCACCUUAGCUCUGGGGGACCGGAGGCAGAGAGGCCAGGAGGGAGGCCGUCUCGUUUUCCACCUUGGAGCCCAUACCGGCAUUGUAAGGGCAGUCACACCGGCUCGCUCCACCCUCUCUAGCCUCCAAGCACCCUGGCCUCUCAACCGGGAAGGGGCGAGUGCACUUGGGGUCCCAGCAGCUCAGACGCUGAAGGGGGUGCAGCCCCCGGCUGAGCCCAGUCCAAGCACCCAGCCCCUCGGUAUGAGCCCUGCCAACACAGGGCACUUUCAGUCCCAGCUGGAGGCUGCCUUCACCACCACGAAGCAAAAAGCAACACCCUCAGUGGGCCUAAGAAGGUCAAGGCCAAGAGCCUGCCCCUGUGGGGCUUCUGGUUCCCCACUGGUCCUGUAAGUUUUCAUCAACAGCCUGAGGGUCUCUAGACAGGUCUAGAAGCUUUGAGUGCAGCUGCCAGGAGCUCUGUUACAACCUCGUGGCACAGGGAGCCCAGAGUUCAGUCCCUGCAGGCAGGCGCCCGCUGAGCCCCAGCCAAGGCUACUUGAGGCUUCGGGGAGGGGAGAGCAAAAGCUACCGGUUCCCCAGGCACGUGGCCCCUGCCCCGCCCUGCUUCGGAGGGCCGGGUCCCUGGCGGAGCCUGUGGGAACUGGAGGAGCUCCCCAAGAAAAUGUUUUGCGAGCCGCGGGGUGCCCUGGGGGCACCGCCCACCCGCCUGCGGGAACACAGCAGAAGGCUCUGGGCAGGUGGCACCUUGUGAGGCCGGCCCUCAGGGCACCGUGGAAGGCGUCUUCCAAUGAUCAGGGGGUUGAUCCGGAUGGGAGCCAAGAGCGCUCCCGUGGGGGUUUGCCCCUGGAAAAGCAAGAUCAACUGGGCUGAUUUUUGGAAAAGGUAAGUCACCAAAUGCCUCUUCCCACCCCUGCCGCCAGCCCACACAGGCCAAGUCUUCCCCUGGUGGUGCCUGAGCCUCGGUUCUGUGCCCUCGGAGGCCACGCGUCCACCAGACCUGCCCUGCUGAAGGACAGAGCCGCCCUCCUCUGGCUCUCCCGGCCGUGGAGGCCCGACACCCUCUCUGACCACCAGCCUCUAGGAUAGGCUUCCAGCAUGGCGGACACCAGGCCUGCUUCCCCAUCCCCACAAGGGAAGGCCAGACCCCCGCUUUCCAGGGCUGUGGGUCACUGAGUGCAAAAGCCCACGUGGGGCUGGGUCAAGGCUCGCUAUGGAGACCACAAGGGGCUGAGAGAACAGCAGGACAGGGCAGCCGGCCCCAGUCAUCCGACCCUUCCCCCUGCCGGGGGACACCCAAUUCUGGCCGCACCCGCGCCUCUGCGCCUCACUCCGCUCCGGACAACACCGCGCAGCCUCCCGUCCACAACGCACGCGGACUCGACGAGACGGCCAAGCACGGAGGCCACACUGGGGGAGGCCCGUGAGCCCCACCGGGAACUUCAGGCGUGGACAGAGCCCUCCUUCCACAGAUAAGGAGCCGGAGUCUCGGCCAGCCUAGCUGCCAGCCCCGCCCAGCCGGAGAGGUCUGACCCCAAAGCCUGGGUCCUCUCCCCCCUCCGGAAAGGAGAGCCGGCGCCGCCUCCUGAAGGGCUGGCCGUCGCCGCUCCCCUCCUUCUACUCGGCCCCAGGUCCGAGGCCGAUAAGCACACAGCGCACAGCGGUCCCACCCCGGCUUUGAGCUCUGAUAAGACACGAGCGGGGCUCUCCUCCAACCCCGCUGGCGGUGGGGUGACAGCCGGCUGACCCCACACGGGGGCGGCGGGGACACAGGAGGAGACGGUCCCUACAGCACCAGAGAUAAGCAGGAUACACUGGCUGCUUGUGUGGAGCCGAAGUGGAGACACUAAACCCACCCACGUUCUGAGGACUCCAUAGGGGGCGAGGCCUCGCAGAAAGGGGGGACAUCCCCAGAAGACCACGGUGGCAGAAAGGACCCUGGCUGACGGCCAGCCCGGGCUGGCUCGGCUGGAAUGCAGGGCAGGCAGCCGACUGGGGCACAGCGGUUCUGAGCGCUCACCACCCCUAUGGGGGGCAGGGCAGUCCCCAGGUCCUCAGAGGGGCUGGCUGUCACUACUCCCCUCCAGGCCCAGAGUCUCUGUUCCCGGGGCCCCCCACACCCCACUCCUGGACAUCCAAGUGCCCCACUGGACAGAGCAGGAGCCUGAAGCCCAGGGAAAAAGUACCUGGCCACUCACUCAUUCCGGAGCAGAGGGCAGAGGCCUGUGGCUGCCUGUGGCACCCCGGACACGCAGGAAGAGAACCGUGACAGCCAACAGAAGCAGGUGUUUGAGAGUGCACGUGAGGGACACCUGGGCUGUGCCUGGGGAGCGGGGCCUGGGGUCCACCUCCACCUUGGGCUGAUGACACUGGACGGCCCGACCCCUGGACGGCCUCCCCUCACUGCCCUCUGCCCCCUGGAGCCUCCCCUCAGCUCUAAAGCCCCCAGCCCAGAAGCCAGCUCGAGGCCAGGGCCCCAGGCACACCUGGGAAUACCGGUCGCUCGGCACUCCGCGCCCUCCCCAGGGCCUGAUCCUGGGAGGACCAGGACAGCAGUACCCACGUGGAGUCGCGGAGUCUAAAUACGACGGGGCUCAACCAUGCGGCAAAAACACAGGGAAGCAUACAGCACAGGCCAAAAAAACAGAGAACCCAGAAAUCCCUAAAGAGCACAAAAACGCAACAGAACAGCACCCUCGAAGGACUAGGCCGCACUGGCAACAACGGGCCUCCCAGGGGUGCAGCUGACCGUGGCCCGUUCUCUGCGGCGCCCCCUCUGCUCCUGCGGCCAGGCCACCAUGGGCAUGGAACACUGCGGCCCCCCUUCUGCCCUCACAGCCAGUCCACGGCAGGCGCAGACCGCUUUCAGGGUCCAAACACACGAUUUCAGCAGUUCUCUCGCUCUGGCCCUGGGGCAUUUCCAACACGCUGGCCAGUGGGUGUUCCUGGGGUCACCUUCCUCCACAACACAGGCUCCUGGGAGGUCCUGGGAGGCCUAGAACGUGGAACAGUGUCCUCUGGAUGCUCCAGGUGAAGCUGGCAGGGAAGGAAGGCCACGCCCAUCACGGCCAUUCCUGGAACGUGGGUUCAAGACACGGGGGGAGCCGGCUGUGUCCCCUAAGAGCCCACACACCAACAUCACCCAUCAGCAUCAGUGGCUUCUAUUACUUGACCCCCCAGGAAGGUGCUGGGCGGGGGGGGGGGGGUUGGGGAGGUGGGGAGUGAUGAGGACAGAUUUCCCAGGUAGACCAGCCCCUCCCCCACCCGCAUAUUUGGACAGCUUCCUGCCCAGAGCCCGAUGGACUGUCUCAGCGGCUCCUCCAGGCAGCCCUCCGAGACUGUCCCUGCAGAAGAGGUGGGACUCAGCUGCUUGGGCAGGCCUGUGCUCAUGGGUGCGUGGGGAUGGGGGCCCCAGAGCUUUUGGGCCCUGUCUCCUGAAACAGCACCCACAUUCCUGCUCUUUGAGGGCCCUCUGGGCCACUCCGCUGGAGAAGAGCACACAGGUCUCCCAGGACAAACAACAGUGUUGUGUGACCGUCAACUAGGACACAUAGGGACAAGCUUCACCCGGAUGUGCCUGGAGUGAAAGCGGUCCCAGUGCUACCCGGACAUGCCCUCCCUGUUACCUCCUGGGCCUUGCCUCCCCCUGUCCCCUGCACCCACCCCCACCUCCCAGUCUGUGGGGUGGACUCCCAGACCACAGCAGUACUCAGGGGCCCGUGCUGGAGGAGUCAGAAUCAGUGUCGCAACACUGACCCCUGCUGGAGCCGCGGGGGAUGGCAGCAAUGCUGGCGAGCAGCCUCCCCUCCCCUGCCCCAGUUCCCCCCAAACCACAGGACAGAAGAUUCCAGGUCUUUCACUGCACUGUCUCCCAGUCCCAACCAGGGAUUACCAUCUCCCCACCCCCAUGCCCACCCCUGUUUCCAGCCGCCAGGCAAACUUCUACUCACCCUUCAAAACCCAGUCGUCAACCACUUGCUUGGGGAUACCCGCCCGAUGUCCCUGCAACCCCCAGUUCCCCAGACCCCAGCCCCUAUCUGUGCUGGACACCAAUCCUUUGCUUCCACGGUGCCCCAUCCUGGUCCCCAGGUAUGUACUGAAUUCAGAUCCAUCCGGAAGAGCCCUUGCAGGGUCCUGGGGCUAGCUCCUGAUUUUACAGAAGACACCCGAGACCCAGAUAUACCUGCGUGUGUACGCACGUGUCCAGGCUAAGCCCCACCCCCAGAGCUGGGCCCCCCAUCAGCCUCCCACCCUGUUCUCCAGCAAACUACAGCAACAAGCAGGAUCCCCCAGGUGCUCCACGUGGCCGUUUCCAGAAACCUGCAGCGCCCGGGGGGCCGCCAGACCAGAGGCCCUCACACGGCAAGCACACGUGCCCGCUUCCUCAAAAGGCACAAGCCAACAGCAGAAACUCUGGAGGACGCAGCUAUCGCGAAGGAGGAGAGCGGUGGCCAGGAGACGUCUCCCUGAUUCCCCGGCAGUCCGCCCGGGGGGCUCCAGGCUCCGGUGAGCCCCAUGCCUCCUACCCGCUGUCCAUUUCCUUCUUAGCGCCCGGCUGUCUGUCGUGCACCACAUCACACCGACCAGUCUGCCCACUGCCCACGCACGCGGAGCAGAAAGAAUCCCCGUGCGCACACCCCUCGACAGCCCCAAGGAUUGUUCUGCAAAGGGGAUAGGGGCUGCAGAGGGGAGAACGUUCCCGCGGCUCUGUCCACCGAGGGCCCGUGUCAUUACUCGCUUCACGGAAGGGAUAACUGAGGCCCAGGCGGUACCGCUGACCUGCUGGAGGCCCCCUGCCAGACGGGCUCUCUGCACAACAGAAAGCGGAGCCAGGAAUGCCCUCAUUCGGGGCCACGCACCCCCGCCUUGGCCGCACCUCCUCCCCGAAGCCCCUGGAGAGCCCCCCGCAGCCAGCCCCACGCGGGGGCUGGGUGCUCAGCACCGCGGGGAGGGGCGCCCCCACCCGCUCCACGAACGGGUGGAGCUCCUCCAAACCGACAACCACGGACCUCCCCAGACACCACUCCGAGUCCCCUGGGGGCAGGGUCACAGGGCCAUAAACAGCUUUAUGUGCAGACACAGCGAUAGGUGUGUGGCUCCAGACCGGCUCGGGGCAUGAAGGCAGGUUUUUUAAGGCUCCUCGGGCAUCCAGAGGACUGCCAGGUGUGGAAAGCUGGGGACUCGGUCCCAGGACGGCCCCUCUCCUCACCGGGGCAGCGGAGCCUCGGAAGACACGAUCCGACGUCACCAGUGCAGCAGGGUCACAGCCACACGAAAGGACAGCAGGCCUCCUCCAGCUCAGGCCAGGAGGCACGGAUUUGCAGCAAUUUCCACGUGUUUCUUCGGAUUUGGGGGAUCGUCCAAUGUUUUUAAAACAAACGUUACCCAAGUCCUGAAAAGAAGUGCUUUGAACAGAGGUAACGCGCAGGCUUCACCGGCUGGGACUCUGCCCCUGAAACCACAGGCAGGGCGCGCCCGGGGGCCCAGAAAACCCCCACAUCUCUCCUCUAAUGCCAUCCUCACAGAAAACCAGCAACGGCACAGCAGAAGCACCACCAAGGGUACCAACGGCUUCUCCCGUGGGAGGCCUGCGCGGCUGGGCCCCUGGGGGCUGCGGCAUCUGGGGAGCGGCAGGGGCUGAAGUUGAAAAACAAAGUAAAGUGGCUGCAGUGAGAGUCAGCCUAUGACCAAGGGAUACGGGGUGACACCGGGGAACGUCUGUUGUCACUGCGGCCGGGGUAGGGGCGUCACGACCGGGGGCGCCCAGCACACCCCCCACGGCAGGCCUGGCCCCGAGGACGGGGGACUACUAUUCCUCCAACCAGCUUGAGAGCUCCCACCCAGACCCCGCAGGACGCCCAGCUCAAGCCCACGUGCCCACCAGCGAGCAAACGGUGCAGGGUCCUUGCUCGGCCCGGCCAGGCCUCCAGACACCAGGCUCUGCCGGGGUUCUCCCGCGGCCUCAGGGCACAGAAACGCUCACAGUGCUGACGGGCCGGACGCAGGAAAGCACACUUCCGUGGUGGGGGAGUCGCCCCCUGAAACCCACCGGCACCCCGCCCACAGAGGAAGCAGCAGAGGGGCAGCGUGGCCACGCCUCCGGGGCUGCCUGUUCGUUGAGGCCGUGCCCUUCCUGUCCCGAGUCCGCUCGCGGAGGAAACAGAACCCACCCUCUGCUGGGAGGCCCUAUUUCUCUGGCUCCAGCCCCCUCCUCUGCAGGACUCUGUGGGCUCAGAGCUGCCCUACAGAAGCGGUGCUCGCUCUCGGGGCUCCAGACCACGCAGGGCCUUCAAGGGCCUAAAUGUGAAGCCCAGGGGCAGGGCUGCCCCGAGAGCCGCCACCCCUGCCACGGCCGUGACCGCUCCUGCCUUCCAGCCUGUCCUCGGGUUUCGUGUUCAGAUGUCACAAUUCUGUGUCUCCCAAGACUCGCUGUGACCUGCCGGCCCCAGGGCAGAGCGCAGAGCGCUGAGCCUGACACACAGUGGGUGCCCAGGCGGGUGCGAGACACGCAGGUGCUGGGCAGCAGAAACUGGAGGAAGGUGGUGCGUGGGGCGAGGGCCUGACUGCCCAAACUCAAUCCCAUAACCCCACUUACCGGCCACGUGCACACAGGAGAGUGGCUUCCCAUCUCUGGGCCUCAGUUUCCUCAUCUGUAAAACGGGGACAAUCAUCCCUACCAUUCAGAGUCAUAGAGAGCCUGCCCAAGUGCGUGCUGCCGAAACUGGGCAAGAUCACACCGAAGUUCGGAGGUGGGGAUCCUGAAUCCCACACUGGGAGGCACGGGGCUGGAGCUGAAGGUCUGGAAGGAACAGGAUCCCUGCCCCGGCCCCUCACGGGCCUCAGACUCUGCCAAAAGUCUCAGGCGCCCAGCGGCCCAAGACUGGAGGUGCUGGGCCUCACGGGGACCCCAACGCCCCACCUGCAGGCUGCGUCCACCAAGCACCUUAGCAACGCUGUUGCUUAAAAAUGAGACCAAGCAAAGCUGGCCCAGCCCGCCCUGGCAAGAGCGCCUCCCUGUGCACAUCUGGACCGCUGCGGCCUCUUCCGACCCAUAGGAAACUGAGCUUGUCAAAAUCUGGAGCAGGGGGAAGCUGAAAGGGAGGGAAAGGACUAGGCACACACUCUCCCCUGGCGUCCUCAGAGGGCAGCGACCCCAGAAGCAUGCCACGGAGAAGGAAACAGGGUCAGAGAGGCUGCACGGCAAGGAAGAGGCUGAGCUGGGAUUUGGCCCUGCCCCUCUGCAGGAGAGGCGGCGCUACCAGAAAGCAGGCCUUCCCUCCCCUCCCUCCCCUCUCUCCCCUCCCUCCCUUCCCUGCAAAAAGGAAAUGCAGACCCACCAUGGAAAGGGGUAGACAGCUGCAUUUUUCCCCUAUAGCAAGUGGGGCCACAGGACUUCCUCACCAAACAGCUCCUAGAAAUGAUCCUUCAGGAAACUAACUGGCCACUCUUGACGUAGAAAGAAAUCUGAAAAGUGACUUACCACGGGAGGGACACACGAGGACAGAAAUCAACACCCCAGAACGGAAGGCUGGAAGGCAACAUGCAGACUUGGGGCCAAGUCAGAACGUCAGGGGCAAAAGGGAGCGGGCCGGCCCUCUCUGGACUCACCCAGAGGAACCCAAAACCCAGGGGGCUCUUUGCAAAGCAAUGCGUACGACACCAAGAGGCAAACAAACGGAGUCAAGAAACCGCGUCUCCACACGUGAGCUGGGCGCUGACUCCCAGAUGCCUCCAACGUGCUGUCCGCCACCUUCCUGGCCCCCACGAGAGACGGGAGUGAUAAUGACCCGAUGCUGAGGUACCAGGGGGCGCCUCUGUUUUGUCUUCUCAACUGCAGGUUCCUGACGGCCGCGCCCGUGGCUCGCGGCUCUGAAUGCCCCGUGCCCAGAACAGGUGGGGAGCCAGACAACGAACGCUCGCAUCUGGCUGUCUGCAAGCCGUCAGCUGCAGGUGCGGGGGGCUAAACAAACUCGUGCGAGAAAUUUAAAAAACCCUACUAUUCUUUCCUUGGCAAAAUGGGAAAACAGACCUAUUAUUUAAUCCCAGCCGGCGCACUCCUCUUUCGAAGACGGUUCUGAAAUAAAAAACACUGUUCCUGGGGAAAGACAGAGAGGGAAUUUGAAACUGAGGCUGAAUGAGGAAGUCUGGGUCUGAUGGAAAGGGAGAGCCAGUCCUGAAGGACAGAGAUCACCAGCGGGAGCCUGAGUUUCCCUCAGAAGGAAUGACACCACUUAAUCCUCCCUCCAAGCCUUUCCCUGUGAUGUCCUCCUUGCCCCCACCCCUCCCGGUUCUUAAAGUCUCCGCUGAAAUCCCACACCUCCUACAAGAAGCGCUCCCAGCUUUCACCAAACUCUGCCAUGACAAUGGCAAUCACCGCGAGGAUACGACGUGCAGCCCGCUAACAUUCUCUGCCCCACCAAAAGAAGGAACACGUUGCCCUGAAGUGCCCCCUGCCGGACGAGGCGAGCCCUACAGGCGCGUCUUGUGCCUGGGAACCUGCUCCGUUUACCCCUAAAGCUUACCUCCGCCCUGGUGUGCAGCUGACUUGAGUCAAUGAGUGCUUCCUUUCUCCCCGCUGGACUCUUGUCCCGGACCCACAAGAAUCCCGUUCUCACUCAUUCAUGUGUUCACAUAAAAUUGCGUGCCUAGUGUAUACCAAGAUCUACCCUAGAUGCUACCUUGACCUGGACAAAUGAGGGAUAUGGUGUGGAGGGGAGGGUCCCUGGAGCCUGGAGGGUUAGGCCAACAUCUUAAUGAAAAAUUGUAAGAA